rnacentral:rRNA from 1 species
CCUACGGGAGGCAGCAGUAGGGAAUAUUGCUCAAUGGGGGAAACCCUGAAGCAGCAACGCCGCGUGGAGGAUGAAGGUUUUCGGAUUGUAAACUCCUUUUGUUAGAGAAGAUAAUGACGGUAUCUAACGAAUAAGCACCGGCUAACUCCGUGCCAGCAGCCGCGGUAAUACGGAGGGUGCAAGCGUUACUCGGAAUCACUGGGCGUAAAGAGCGCGUAGGCGGGAUAGCAAGUCAGAUGUGAAAUCCUAGGGCUUAACCAUAGAACUGCAUUUGAAACUGUUAUUCUAGAGUAUGGGAGAGGUAGGUGGAAUUCUUGGUGUAGGGGUAAAAUCCGUAGAGAUCAAGAGGAAUACUCGUGGCGAAGGCGACCUGCUAGAACAUAACUGACGCUGAUGCGCGAAAGCGUGGGGAGCAAACAGGAUUAGAUACCCUUGUAGUC